rnacentral:rRNA from 1 species
GAUGAACGCUGGCGGCGUGCCUAAUACAUGCAAGUCGAGCGCACGGACGUGAAGCUUGUUCCUCCGAUGUUAGCGGCGGACGGGUGAGUAACACGUGGAUAACCUACCUAUAAGCCUGGGAUAACUUCGGGAAACCGGUGCUAAUACCGGAUAAUAACUUGAAACGCAUGGUUUAAAAGUGAAAGAUGGUCUUGCUGCACCCUAAAGAUGGCUCGCGGCUGCUUAAGUUAGUUGGUAAGGUAACGGCUAACCAAGGCAACGUUGCUAAGCCGACCUGGAAGGGGAACCGGCCACACUGGAACGGAAACACGGUCCAACCUCCUACGGGGGGCAGCGGAGGGAAAUCUUCGGCAAGGAGCGAAGGCCGAACGGGGCAACGCCGCGGAGUGGAGGAGGGUCUUCGAAUCUAAAAACUCGGUUAUUGAGAAGAAACAUGUGUGGAAGGGACAGUGCACAACGUGACGGUACCUAAUCAGAAAGCCACGGCUAACUACGUG